UGCCAGUGAUAAACUGGAGGAAGGUGGGGAUGACGUCAAGUCAUCAUGGCCCUUACGACCAGGGCUACACACGUGCUACAAUGGCAUAUACAAAGAGAAGCGACCUCGCGAGAGCAAGCGGACCUCAUAAAGUAUGUCGUAGUCCGGAUUGGAGUCUGCAACUCGACUCCAUGAAGUCGGAAUCGCUAGUAAUCGUAGAUCAGAAUGCUACGGUGAAUACGUUCCCGGGCCUUGUACACACCGCCCGUCACACCAUGGGAGUGGGUUGCAAAAGAAGUAGGUAGCUUAACCUUCGGGAGGGCGCUUACCACUUUGUGAUUCAUGACUGGGGUGAAGUCGUAACAAGGUAACCGUAGGGGAACCUGCGGUUGGAUCAC
rnacentral:rRNA from 3 species